AGAGCGAACGCUGGCGGCAGGCCUAACACAUGCAAGUCGAGCGCCCGUAGCAAUACGGGAGCGGCAGACGGGAUAGUAACACGUGGGAACGCGCCCUUCGGUUCGGAAUAACUCAGGGAAACUUGAGCUAAUACCGGAUACGCCCUUACGGGGAAAGAUUUAUUGCCGAAGGAACGGCCCGCGUCCGAUUAGCUAGUUGGUGAGGUAAUGGCUCACCAAGGCGACGAUCGGUAGCUGGUCUGAGAGGAUGACCAGCAUCACUGGGACUGAGACACGGCCCAGACUCCUACGGGAGGCAGCAGUGGGGAAUAUUGGACAAUGGGCGCAAGCCUGAUCCAGCCAUGCCGCGUGGAUGAUGAAGGCCUUAGGGUUGUAAAGUCCUUUUAACGGGAGAUAAUGACGGUACCCGUAGAAUAAGCCCGGCUAACUUCGCGCCAGCAGCCGC
rnacentral:rRNA from 1 species